UGCGCAUUAUAACGUCGUCUCUUGCACCCACACACGUUCCUCUUUCCCGCCCUACCCCCGCUCUUGCACAUAGCGAGGCCUGCAGAGGAGGAGCACUGCACUCAGUGACAGUGCGGACGGUCUGAGAGGCCAUUCAUAAAGAAAGCGCCGCAAAAGCGGCGAAGUCCGCUCCGUGUGGCUUGUUCAGCCCUUUCAUGGAGGCACGCACGAAGCCAUUCUGCUAAUUGUUGCGCGCUCUUCUCCUGUGCCCUGUCUUGUCGUUCGUGGGUUUUUUCAUCGUCAUUCUUCAAGUCGCUCUUGCUGUAACCGUUGGCUGUGUGUGCGUGUGUGUGAGGAGGGUUGCACUAGUGCGCCUCAGUGAAGGUGUAUGUGCGCGUCUCCGCAAGACCAGUCUUGCUCGUAAAACCAGCGCUGGAUAUCCCCGGGGAUCUUUGUGUCCCUAUCUAUACCUGCAGACUGCACGCCGCAACCGCACACGAAAAGAAACCAACCGCACCAGGUGGGAGACGCGCUUGGACGUUGUUGUUGCUCCGCCUUCUCUUUCUCGUCUAUUAUUGUCCUUAUCGCUUCUUUCGCGUUCUCACAUCGGGCCUCAGCCGACCACAACACUCCCCUCUCUUUUCCGCGCGUUUGCAUUGCCGCACUGGCUACUGAAGCACCAUCCUUUUUGCUCUUGCUGUUUUGGGUGUGCGUGCAUGUGCGCUUCUCGCGCUCUGCCACUUUUUUCUUUCCCCUCCCCCCCCCGCUCGUACGCGUGUGCGGAGGUGACAGUCGGGCGGUCUCGCCUUCUCCGCCCUUUUUUCCGCCUGCGCUGUAUUUGCAGUGACACUCGCGUGGCUUGCGCACGACAAAGGCAUCGAGGAAAUGCCGUGGUAUCUCAGCACCUUCCGGGUAGGCUUCUGUGCCAUUUACGCGUACUUUGGGUAUGUACAGGUUCGCUGGCUGCUGGAGACCGAGGACCGCUAUCGUCGCUCGAGCACAUGGAAGCCCGCCGUCGGGACGAUCUUCGACCACAAGGUGGUUAUGACCCGCGGCGGCUCGAGCUACGUGCAGUAUAAGUUCAAUGUCGAUGGCGUCGAAUACAUAGGCGACCGCUUCCGCAGCGGCGGCAUCCACAAGGAGGAGAUGGUCUCGAACCCGACCCUGCUUGGCGCCGGCACGCAGCUGGUCGUCUAUUACAACCCCGCUGACCCCUCCGAGAGUGCCAUCAAGCUGCAAGCAGACCGCGGCGCGGAGUCGGUGUUCGUCAUUGGCUCACUCCUUUCGUUCCUCAUCGCCUUUCGAGCGGUGCGCUGCGAGACCAUCUUGCCAAACAUGUUCUACCGCUUCCUCGGAGUGAACCGGCGCGUUGGCGGGAUUUCAGGGCUUCGACAGGCUCGCCCGCACGCGAAGCAGCGCAUGAAGUACGGCAAACACUCCGGGAGCCUGUAGUGGUGAGCAAAGGCGGACGGCGCCUGCAGUGCUGCAGUUGAAACUUGAUGAUCACAUUCUUCACCGAAAUGACCGCCACAACGCCCGCGUCGAAGCUGACGCACCGUUACACAUGCUGAUGAAGCAGCGGUGCCUGUGCGCGCCCGUCUGCGCAGCAGUCCGCUGCUGAGGUGCGUGGCCGUGCAGUUGGGACGUGCGUUGCCAUGCGUUGAGUGCUGCACGUGCCAUUUUCCCCUCUCUCUGCGAGUACCUAGCUGGUGUGCGUGGCGGCGACCUCACGAGCAGAGCGGAUGGACUCGCCACUGCCACCUCUCUACUGGAGGGUUGCGGAGAGGCUGUGCGUACCGUGUGUACCUGCGUGCUUCUUGCCGCGGUCCCUCUCGUUUCUGUGCUUCUUAUUUCCUUGCUCCCAUCCCUCGCUCCACAUUCUGUUUUCUCUCUGUCUCCUUGGCAUGUAACGCACUUUGGCCGUGCAACGAACGACUACACACGACGAUGCACGACCGCGCUGUAACUCACCGACAUCGCCUGUACCCAAG
rnacentral:misc_RNA from 1 species